AUUGAACGCUGGCGGCAGGCCUAACACAUGCAAGUCGAGCGGAGCAGCGGACGGGUGAGUAAUGCCUAGGAAUCUGCCUGGUCGUGGGGGAUAACGUACGGUAACGGGCGCUAAUACCGCAUACUAUCAGAUGAGCCUAGGUCGGAAUAGCUAGUUGGGGGGGUAAAGGCCUACCAAGGCGACGAUCGGUAACUGGUCUGAGAGGAGGAUCAGUCACACGGGAACUGAGAAACGGUCCAGACUCCUACGGGAGGCAGCAGUGGGGAAUAUUGGACAAUGGGCGAAAGCCUGAGCCAGCCAUGCCGCGUGUGUGAAGAAGGUCUUCGGAUUGUAAAGCACGUUAAGUUGGGAGGCGUUACCAACAGAAUAAGCACCGGCUAACUCCGUGCCAGCCGCCGCGGUAAUAC
rnacentral:rRNA from 1 species